GACGAACGCUGGCGGCGUGCUUAACACAUGCAAGUCGAGCGCUGAAGCUUCUUUGGGGGUGGAUGAGCGGCGAACGGGUGAGUAACACGUGGGUGACCUGCCCUCAGCUCUGGGAUAAGCCUGGGAAGCUGGGUCUAAUACCGGAUAUGACCUUCUCUCGCAUGGGGGUUGGUGGAAAGUCUGUGUUGUGAGACAUGGGCGGUUGGGGGAUGGGCCCGCGGCCUAUCAGCUUGUUGGUGGGGUGAUGGCCUACCAAGGCGG
rnacentral:rRNA from 1 species